rnacentral:tRNA from 1 species
GGCGGGGUUCCCGAGCGGUCAAAGGGAACAGACUGUAAAUCUGUCGGUGAAUGCCUUCGAAGGUUCGAAUCCUUCCCCCGCCACCA